GACGACCGCUGGCGGCGUGCUUCACACAUGCAAUUCGCCCGAUGAACCCGGAUCUUGCUCCUGUGUAUUAGUGGCGAACGGGUGAGUAACACGUUCGUAACCCGCCCUUUACUCUGGUCUAACUGCGGGAACCUGUAUCUAAUACCGGAUACGACCCUCCUCGGCCGCGCCAACGGGUGGAAAGAAUUUCGGUCAAGGAUGGACUCGCGGCCUAUCAGCUAGUUGGUGAGGUAACGGCUCACCAAGGCGACGACGGGUCGCCUGGCAUGAGAGGGUGACCGGCCACACUGGGACUGAGACACGGCCCAGACUCCUACGGGAGGCAGCAGUGGGGAAGAUUGCACAAUGGGCGCAAGCCUGAUGCAGCAACGCCGCGUGAGUGAUGAAGGCCUUAGGGUUGUAAAGCUCUUUCGUCCGGGACGAUAAUGACGGUACCGGAAGAAGACGCCCCGGCUAACUUCGUGCCAGCCGCCGCAGUAA
rnacentral:rRNA from 1 species